rnacentral:tRNA from 2 species
GCGCCGGGAGCACGGCUGGUCAGUGCAGCACUCUUAUAAGGUGACGGUUGCGGGUUCAAGUCCCGUCCGGCGCACCA